CCGCUGCUGCAGCCCGCGGUCCCCAGGGCACGGGCACCGCCCAGCCCGCUGCGGAGACCGGGGGACCGUAGCGGCCGCUUACUGAGUGGGGGGGGGGGGGGUCCGUCGGUGAAGCGGGAAAACACGCCCCCCCCCUCGGUGCGGCCGCAGUGGACCGGCCCAGGGAAAAAGGGAACGCGAGGCCCCUCCCGUCACCACGCGCGGCUGCUCGGGUCGCGCAUGCGCGCGGCGGGGGCGGAGCCUGCGGGCCAGGCGGCGGGAGCGGGCCUCGGGCGCUCUGGCCGGGGUCUCGGGGCCUUGGGCACAGAAGAGCGGAGUGUCGGCGCCUGCUGCCCGACGGGACCCGAGGUAACGCCGCAGGCCGGCUUCUCCCCGCCUGGCCCGAGCCCCUCUCCCGCCUGGGCCGUCGGAGCGAGCCCGCCCCGCCCCCGGAGUCCUGACGACCGCGCGCCGCGACGUGCCCCGCCUCUACCGUCCUCCCGGGGCGGGGCCUGUGGUCCGCGCGGCCCGCGCGCUCGGUUCCGGCCGCCCGGGGAGCACCGCAGGGCGUCGGGAGAGCGACGGGAGUGAGCGUGCGUGGAAGUUGGUCCCGAGGAGGAGGAAGCUUUCGGAGCCCCGGUGCCGCCCCGAUGCGACCUGAACGCGCUUCCGAGGCACGGCUGAGUGGGCCCGCGGGGCUGGAGGCGGAGCGGCGUGGGGCCCCGUCCGCCGUCCUGGUCCGGGGUGCUGCGGCGGCGGCCUCGUGCGCGCGACCAGCCAGAAGGACCCAGAGGGGAGAGGAAUAGUUCUUCCUCCCUACGUGGCUAAGUUCAAAACAGUUGUUUUGUUGAUAAUCGACCUUCAGAGAAUAAACAGCUUGUUUAAUGCUAAUUUGAUCCACGCCCCAUCCUCCACCUGUUCUCUGCUCCAGGACCCUGACCUGACUGGAUUAUAUAAAUAAUCUCCCUCGUACUCUGGCUUCCAGUUGAUUUGGUGAAUGGGGAACCCCAGCAGAGAGGUUCUGUUCAUCUUUCCUUGUUAAAGUUGAGGUAUGGAAUAAUGCUGUAGCAGUGGUAUUGGGAGAAAGUCACUUAAUGGCUAUUUAAAGUUAAGUGCUUUGUGACAGGCUGGCUGGGGAUUAACUAUUGCUUCAUGUAUGGCCUUUGAAGUGUGUGAAAAUAAAAUUGUCAUUAUGAAUCGUGUUGACCAUUUGUUGUAAAGCACCCAAGAGCGUGAACAUGCCAAGGAAUUAGAACACAUUUGUUUGCAGUAAUUAAAAUGAAUGAGUUAAGCAUUCAAAUCUGGGGGAAGAGAUUGUGCCCCACCAGCUUCUUCUAGCACUUUAUACCACCUUGCUCAGAUUGGCUGCACGUAAUUUCUGUCAGUGUUCACAGGCGCCAGGUACAGGAAAGACAUAACUGAGUCAAGAGAGCCCUGAAAAUCUGGCAAGUUCCCUACAAACGGGCUGCUCACCUUCCUGUAGAUGAGAUCAAGCGUCUGUCAAAGAACUCCUUUUUGUCAAAAUGAUGUUUGGUGCUGGCUUUUGGGAAUCUAUAUUAGCUCCCCUCCCCAGAGUGGAUCACACUGGGGGCCUUGACCACAGUGCCCCAUGCCCUGGUCAACUGAAUGAAGAGUGAGAACAAUGUAGAAAGGAUGGAGAGUCCAAAAACUUCUAGCAGGACACCUACUGAGGUAUUUUAAGCUUAGAAACACCAUUGCCAGUGGCUCUAAGCACCAAACCUUAUUCUCUGUUGUGUUGUUACUCAGAGACUUCUGAGAGGUUGGAGAUUUAUAUCCAGAGGUAAUGUCAACAGGUACG
ensembl:lncRNA